rnacentral:rRNA from 1 species
CAAGUUGAGCGCUGAAGGUUGGUACUUGUACCAACUGGAUGAGCAGCGAACGGGUGAGUAACGCGUGGGGAAUCUGCCUUUGAGCGGGGGACAACAUUUGGAAACGAAUGCUAAUACCGCAUAAAAACUUUAAACACAAGUUUUAAGUUUGAAAGAUGCAAUUGCAUCACUCAAAGAUGAUCCCGCGUUGUAUUAGCUAGUUGGUGAGGUAAAGGCUCACCAAGGCGAUGAUACAUAGCCGACCUGAGAGGGUGAUCGGCCACAUUGGGACUGAGACACGGCCCAAACUCCUACGGGAGGCAGCAGUAGGGAAUCUUCGGCAAUGGACGAAAGUCUGACCGAGCAACGCCGCGUGAGUGAAGAAGGUUUUCGGAUCGUAAAACUUUGUUGGUAGAGAAGAACGUUGGUGAGAGUGGAAAGCUCAUCAAGUGACGGUAACUACCCAGAAAGGGACGGCUAACUACGUGCCAGCAGCCGCGGUAAUACGUAGGUCCCGAGCGUUGUCCGGAUUUAUUGGGCGUAAAGCGAGCGCAGGUGGUUUAUUAAGUCUGGUGUAAAAGGCAGUGGCUCAACCAUUGUAUGCAUUGGAAACUGGUAGACUUGAGUGCAGGAGAGGAGAGUGGAAUUCCAUGUGUAGCGGUG